UCGAGCGGCAGCGCGGGGCAACCUGGCGGCGAGCGGCGAACGGGUGAGUAAUGCAUCGGAACAUGUCCAUGUCGUGGGGGAUAGCCCGGCGAAAGCCGGAUUAAUACCGCAUACGCCCGAGAGGGGAAAGUGGGGGACCGCAAGGCCUCACGCGAUUGGGUUGGCCGAUGUCCGAUUAGCUAGUUGGCGGGGUAAGAGCCCACCAAGGCGAUGAUCGGUAGCUGGUCUGAGAGGAUGAUCAGCCACACUGGGACUGAGACACGGCCCAGACUCCUACGGGAGGCAGCAGUGGGGAAUUUUGGACAAUGGGGGAAACCCUGAUCCAGCCAUUCCGCGUGAGUGAAGAAGGCCUUCGGGUUGUAAAGCUCUUUUGUCCGGAGCGAAACGGUGAACGUGAAUAGCGUUCGCUACUGACGGUACCGGAAGAAUAAGCACCGGCUAACUACGUGCCAGCAGCCGCGGUAAUACGUAGGGUGCGAGCGUUAAUCGGAAUUACUGGGCGUAAAGCGUGCGCAGGCGGUUUUGUAAGCCAGAUGUGAAAUCCCCGGGCUUAACCUGGGAAUGGCAUUUGGGACUGCAAGGCUGGAGUGCGGCAGAGGAGACUGGAAUUCCUGGUGUAGCAGUGAAAUGCGUAGAUAUCAGGAGGAAUACCGAUGGCGAAGGCAGGUCUCUGGGCUGACACUGACGCUCAUGCACGAAAGCGUGGGGAGCAAACAGGAUUAGAUACCCUGGUAGUCCACGCCCUAAACGAUGUCGACUGGUUGUUGGGGGUUUGACACUCUCAGUA
rnacentral:rRNA from 1 species